GACGAACGCUGGCGGCGUGCUUAACACAUGCAAGUCGAACGAUGAAGCUGGAGCUUGCUCCGGUGGAUUAGUGGCGAACGGGUGAGUAACACGUGAGCAAUCUGCCCUUCACUCUGGGAUAACUGCGGGAAACUGUAGCUAAUGCAGGAUACGAGGCUUGGAGGCAUCGCAAGGUCUGGAAAGAAUUUCGGUGAAGGAUGAGCUCGCGGCCUAUGAGCUUGUUGGUGAGGUAAUGGUUAGCCAAGGCGACGACGGGUAGCCGGCCUGAGAGGGUGACCGGCCACACUGGGACUGAGACACGGCCCAGACUCCUACGGAGGCAGCAGUGGGGAAUAUUGCACAAUGGGGGAAAGCCUGAUGCAGCAACGCCGCGUGAGGGAUGAAGGCCUUCGGGUUGUAAACCUCUUUUAGCAAGGAAGAAGCGAAAGUGACGGUACCUGCAGAAAAAGCACCGGCUAACUACGUGCCAGCCGCCGCAGUAA
rnacentral:rRNA from 1 species